rnacentral:rRNA from 1 species
UACGUAGGGUGCGAGCGUUGUCCGGAAUUAUUGGGCGUAAAGAGCUUGUAGGCGGUUUGUCGCGUCUGCUGUGAAAAUCCGGGGCUCAACCCCGGACUUGCAGUGGGUACGGGCAGACUAGAGUGUGGUAGGGGAGACUGGAAUUCCUGGUGUAGCGGUGAAAUGCGCAGAUAUCGGGAGGAACACCGAUGGCGAAGGCAGGUCUCUGGGCCACUACUGACGCUGAGAAGCGAAAGCGUGGGGAGCGAACAGG